GUUAGAAGACUGUAUAAGGUCUCUCUGUAGACUAGGACUGCAAUUCCAAAACACGCUUUCCUGAAGUCACUGCAGUCAAAAGGAGGCAUUUAAGAGUCAGCAGCAGAUCAGAAGCUUCUUUCAAACCUUCAAACAGUGGAUAAGUAAGAGACAUAAAAAUCAAGGUUAAGUCCCAUGUAGGGAUGCACCGAAGUGAAAAUUCUGGAUGCCCUUGGCCGGAAACCAAAGAUGACUUUAUUGCCC